rnacentral:misc_RNA from 1 species
AGGCCAUCUGGAGAAGAAGAGACUAGGCUCUACAGAGAGGAGGGAGAAGGAAGAGGAGAGCUGAGGACAUGUGGUGGUGGUGGAGGGAUUUGGCGGAUGAUGCUGCUGUUGCUGAUGUUGUGGUGGUGGGGAGUGGGGGAAUUUGGGAGGGGGAGGGUUUUGAAGAGAAAGUGAGUCUGGGUUUGUCAGGCCUAUACAUGCCGGAGAUUGUACAAUUUGGUGUUGAAGCAUCUUUCCUCUCUGAACUUAGGAUGAAAGGAUGAACUUGCAGUUGAGAGGGGCAAUGGGUGGUAACCGGGAAACCUGUUAAAAAAGAUUAGAGUGACUUUCUCAUACGUAAAAUUAAAGUUGAGUAAUUUUAUUGUAAUAAAUUGAAGUUGAGGGAUGAAAAUAAAAUAACCUCUAAAGUGGAGAGACGGUGGGUGAAAAUUAGGCUUUUAAAACAGUGUUUAAACUGUACUAUAAGCAAUAGUAAUGCUUUUUAUUGUGGACAACUCUCAUCAGGUGUGUGUAGGAUAAUAAAACCCAGUGCAUUGGGGCAAAAUCAACAUGCAAUAGUGUGAUCAUAUAUGACCUCUGCCAUUUGACGCAUUCAUGUAGUUGAGAAGUAAUUGAUAGUAGCAAUACAAUCACAUUAUCAGAACUUAUUUUUGACCUUACAUUAUUGGGCUUGAAAUUGCACAUCCUAUUUUGGUCCAUGACAUAUGUCAUAGUUAAAUGGGUCUAACAAGGCUGUUGUUUCCUCAGUGUACAGCUCAUGGGAAGUGGGGG